GGGGAGGAAAAACCUUUCCCGGCCUUUCCAUCUCCGGGACCCCCUGGAGAUGGAGGGGGCCUUUUUGGGGCCCGGACACAGGUGGUGCAUGGCUGUCGUCAGCCCGUGUCGUGAGAUGUUGGGUUAAGUCCCGCAACGAGCGCAACCCUUGUCCUCAGUUGCCAGCACGUAAUGGUGGGGACUCUAAGGAGACCGCCGGUGACAAACCGGAGGAAGGUGGGGAUGACGUCAAGUCAUCAUGGCCCCUACGGCCAGGGCUACACACCUGCUACAAUGGGCGGUACAAAGGGGUGCGAACCCCCGAGGGGGAGCCAAUCCCAAAAACCCCCUCUCAGUUCGGAUUGGAGUUUGCAACUUGACUCCCUGAAGUUGGAAACGCUAGUAAUCGCCGAUCAGCAUU
rnacentral:rRNA from 1 species